CAGCACAAAUGACGUAAGAAAUAACUAUCACAUAAACUGGAUAUGUAUCCAUUACAAUUCAGCCUUUAUCAGAGAGACAAAUGGCUAAGUUGGCCUAGUUUGCUGUUUCAUCCAAAAUAGUAGUGUUCAAUUUCGUAUGCAAGCAAAAAAGCCUAGAGGUUUUGAUUACGUAUCCUACAUGGAAGAAAUCGGCAAAGAAAAAAAGGAUGAAAAAGAAUGAUGCUAUGCUUUGGCGUUUGGUGGGUACCCAUUCGAAUACGGACUAGUUUAUAAUAUUAUGGGAUCAGAUAUUCUUAGAUACAAUAUAAAAAUAAGUAUGAUUUUUGGUAUUUGAAAAAUUUAUUUAGGGUUGAAGAUACUACUUUGGAUCUCUGGGUAUGGUUUUCCAGGUUAUUUGGAUUUUAGUUUUGAAUUAUCUGUUAUGGUUCAGCUAUUAAUAACACUUCAGGUAUAACUGUAUUUUAUAUGGUAUAAAUUAUACCACUCUAGAAAAUCUAUUCAGUAUUUUUUAUAGCUCAGGAUAAGAUAUGGAUUCAGUUUUUUCCAGGUUACUUGGAUUUUUUAGUUUUGAGUUAUCUGUUAUGGUUCAGCUAUUAACACUUAAGGUAUAACUGUAUGUUAUAUUACUCUCUCUGUUUUUAAAAGAUGCAUAUUCUAGAUUUUUCACAUAUAUUAAAAAAACUCAUUAAAUAUGCAUUGUUUUUUUGUGAAUAACAAUUUUCCAUAACUUUAAGCCAAUAGAAAUUUAAUAAACACCAUUAAUUUUUUUGAAACUUACAAUUUUUCAUAAAAUCAUACAUUGAAAAAGUAAAAAAUAUAUAUUUUUAAAACAAUUUUUUUUUUCAGAACAUACAUCUUUUAGGAACUGAGGGAGUAUACCAUUCUAGAAAAUCUAUUCAGUAUUCUUUAUAGCUCAGAUAAGAUAUGGAUUCAGUUUUUUCUUUUUGUUUGAGUUCGGUUUGGAUAUCUCGGGUAUCGCUUCUUUUUAUUUUUUUUGCCUAGGCCUAGAUGAUGAUGCAAUGCAAACUAAUCGGUUUGUUCAAGAAAACGGAAUCUAAUUAUAUAAAAAAAUGUUGGAGUCUCUCCUGCUGAGGACACGUCAUCAAAUAAGUAAACCACAGCUUGCCACGUGUCCUCCUCACACUACAAAAACUCGAUCUUCGUUUGGGUUGCGGAAGGGCUUUUACACAAGUGAGCUAUCUUAGUAUUGGGCCGGAAAAUCAUCAGACACUUAAGCCCGUUAGACGCCUUCGCUUUGUCGACGUGAAGCCGACUUUAGUUUCUAAGUUUCAUUGUCGUCUCAGAAAGCUGAUUAGGUAUAACAUCAAUGGAGAUUCUCAAAGUUUCAGAGAGAUGAGUCUUCUUCAUUAAUCGUUGCGUCUAUGUUGGUUCGUGUUGUAUCGUAUCGUUCUCGAUUCAUCUCUUUACUGGCGUUACAAGUUCCAUUGAUUCAGCGUCAUUAAUGAGAUCUUAACUCUUCUGAGCCACUGCAACCACGAUCAUUCAAUUAAUGAUUAUUAUCCCUUUCCAAGCGGUGGGUCUCUACCUAUAAAAAGAUAUCAUCCUCACAACUCCAACAGCAUUUGAAGAUGACCAGCAUGGUCUAGAGAUUGGCUUCUCCUCUUUCUGUCCCUCAACAGGUUUUGUUUCAAUCUUUGGAAUCUUUUUUUUUUCUGUAAUCUGAUAUUUUAAAGCGUUCAUGUAGUAACUCUCACGUCCUGAAUUUUUCUCACUCAUAUAUCAGAGUUGUUCCUUUGGAUUUAAAUCAUCGGAAGUGUUGAUCUUUGUCGUAUUAAGUUGUUAUAUUAGUCAGUGGAAAAUUCUGAGUCCAUGUAAUUAAGCUACCGCAAACUACAAUGUUGAAGCUCGCAUAUUGAAUUGUUUGGAAGAGCCUCUUCUAUUCACUUGGUGAUCAUCUUUAAGGAUGUUUUAGCUUCUUUAGUUCUCUGUUUUAGUACUGCAGAUUUCUAGGCUUCUUGUGAUUACUGACAUUGUUUCUUUUUGGUCCAGACACAAUCAAAUCAUCAUUCUACGAGGUCAAGAAGCUGCUCAACUCUAAACAUCUCUUCUUUAAGGAGAGGAGAUGUAUGCUUAUCACAACCGCUGCAGCCAUCUCGACAACUGCAUCAGGUUACGAGUCAGCAUCGUCUGGAGCAGCAUCACUGUUUUACGUGGCGGAGUCAGGAAACUGGAGAGAAUCGCAGGGAGUGAGGAAGAGGAAGAGUCGGAAAUGGCGGAGGGUUCAGAGUCUGAGACAGAGGAGACGAGCAAGAAGCAGAUGAGAGUGGAAGGAGUAUCGGCGGAGGUGAAGAAGAUGAGAGAGGAAGCAAGUGUAGGAUGAUCCGGUGAAGAUCAUGUGUGAGAAUAAGGAGUUGAUGAGGAGGAAGGCAUUGGAGCUGAAGGAGAGGAAAAUUGGGUACGAGUGGAGGCGGUGGAGAUGGAGAAGCAGAGAGUGAGGUGGAUGAGAUAGAGUAGCAAGAAAGAGAAAGCAAAUGGAUAAGGUUAACCGUUAAGCUAGAGAACUUGCGAGGAAGGCUUGAAAUGGAAAGGAUGGUUCUGAUUAUGAGGUGAAGAGAUAUUGAGUUGGCGGAGUUAAAGUCGUUGUGUAAACAUGUUGCAACCGAUUACUAUCGAUAUAAUCAGCAAAGUCAAAACGUAUUUGCAUGAUUGAUUCGAACAGAUUAAGCAUAUUUAUAAUUAUAUUUUCCUGAGUUUGGUGCAGAAUAUUUCAAACAAAAAAUUAGUUAAAAUAUGUAAUAUAACCUAAUAAUUAGUUAAAAUUUAAAAAUAUUAAGAAAAAUUGAGUUUUUAAAAUUAAAUAGAAACGGAGCUACCGUCUAAUAAAUAGAUUGUAGUACUGCAUUAUGAGGAGACGAGCAAGAAGCAUGCUACUCUCCAUUUUAGAUCAAUUAAUAUAAUUAAGUUUUUUGAAUCAAAAAAAUCAAACAAAGAGUAAUUGAAAUUUUAUGAAAACCCACAAAGAUAAAAGAGUUUAUAGUUAAAGCUAAAUGUUUUAAAAUCUACAUAAAUAAAUUAUUAACACAUAAUAUAAUGAAAAUGUAGUGAAAUACAUAACAUAGCCAAAAAUACUUAAUAUAACAAAAUAUAUACAUAAAAAUAAGCUAAAAAAUAAAAAUAAUUUACAGAUUAAAAAAUAAAAAAAUUAAUCCAACAACUUAUUGCUUAUUUUACAUUUCAUUAAAUUAAAGUAACCAAAAAUUUUAAAAGAGUGAAUUUAACUAUUUUCGAUCAUUUAGCUCAAGCUGAAGAAACUAUAGGAAAACCACAAAAAGUACAUAAUCAGAAUAUAUAUUUCAAGAAAUAAUUUUGAAAUACUCUCCAUUUCAGAUCAAUUAAUAUAAUUUAGUUUCUUUAAUCAAAAAAUCAAACAAAGAGUAGUUGAAAUUUUAUGAAAACCAACAAAGAUAAAAGAGCUUAUAGUUAAAGAUAAAUUUUUUUAAUUUCUACAUAAAUAAAUUAUUAACACCUAAAAUAAUUAAAUUUAGUGAAAUACAUAACAUAACCAAAAAGACUUAAUAUAACAAAAUAUAUACAUAAAAAUAACCUAAAAAUAAAAAACAAAUUUGCAGACAAAAAAAUAAUAAUAAGAAAUUUAAUCCAACAACUUAUUGCUUAUUUUACAUUUAAAAAGUCACCAAAAUUUUUAAAAGAGUGAAUUUAACUAUUUUCGAUCACUAAACUCAAGCUGAAGAAACUAUAAAAUAUUGAGAGAAAUCCGCAAAAUUACAUAAUCAUAAUAUAUAUUUCAAGAAAUAGUCUUGAAAUACUCUCCAUUUUAGAUCAAUUAAUAUAAUUUAGUUUUUUUAAUCAAAAAAUCAAACAAAGAGUAAUUGAAAUUUUAUGAAAACCCACAAAGAUAAAAGAGUUUAUAGUUAAAGCUAAAUGUUUUCAAAAUCUACAUAAAUAAAUUAUUAACACAUAAAAUAAUUAAAAUUUAGUGAAAUACAUAACAUAGCCAAAAAUACUUAAUAUAACAAAACAUAUACAUAGAAAUAAGCUAAAUAAAAAAAAUUAAUCCAACAACUUAUUACUUAUUUUACAUUUCAUUAAAGAAAAGUCACCAAAAUUUUUAAAAGAGUGAAUUUAAUUAUUUUCGAUCAUUAAACUCAAGCUGAAGAAACUUAUAAAAUAUUGAAGAAAACCACGAAAAGUACAUAAUCAGAAUAUAUAUUUCCAAAAAUAAUCUUUAAAAAAACAAAAUAUAACAUAAAAAUGAAAAA